rnacentral:rRNA from 1 species
UACGGAGGGUGCAAGCGUUAUCCGGAUUCACUGGGUUUAAAGGGUGCGUAGGCGGUCACUUAAGUCCGUGGUGAAAUCUCUGGGCUUAACCCAGAAACUGCCAUGGAUACUAUUUGUCUUGAAUGUUGUGGAGGUUAGCGGAAUAUGUCAUGUAGCGGUGAAAUGCAUAGAUAUGACAUAGAACACCAAUUGCGAAGGCAGCUGGCUACACAAAUAUUGACGCUGAGGCACGAAAGCGUGGGGAUCAAACAGG